rnacentral:misc_RNA from 1 species
GAUGAAGAACGUAGCGAAAUGCGAUAAGUAGUGUGAAUUGCAGAAUUCAGUGAAUCAUCGAAUCUUUGAACGCACAUUGCGCCCCUUGGUAUUCCAUGGGGCAUGCCUGUUCGAGCGUCAUUUGUACCUUCAAGCUCUGCUUGGUGUUGGGUGUUUGUCUCGCCUCUGCGUGUAGACUCGCCUUAAAACAAUUGGCAGCCGGCGUAUUGAUUUCGGAGCGCAGUACAUCUCGCGCUUUGCACUCAUAACGACGACGUCCAAAAGUACAUUUUUACACUCUUGACCUCGGAUCAGGUAGGGAUACCCGCUGAACUUAAGCGUAUCAAUAAGCGGAGGA